rnacentral:rRNA from 1 species
AUUGAACGCUGGCGGAAGGCCUAACACAUGCAAGUCGAGCGGCGCGGCGGCCGGGCGAGUAAUGCCUAGGAAUCCGCCUGGUAGUGGGGGAUAACGUCCGGAAACGGGCGCUACUACCGCAUACUAUCAGAUGAGCCUAGUUCGGAUUAGCUAGUUGGUGGGGUAAUGGCCUACCAAGGCGACGAUCAGUAACUGGUCUGAGAGGAUGAUCAGUCACACGGGAACUGAUACACGGGCCAGACUCCUACGGGAGGCAGAAGUGGGGAAUAUUGGACAAUGGGCGAAAGUCUGAUCCAGCCAUGCCGCGUGUGUGAAGAAGGUCUUCGGAUUUUAGAGCACUUUAAGUUGGGAGGCGUUACCAGCAGGAUAAGCACCGGCUGACAUCGUGCCAGCAGCCGCGGUAAUGC